UACAGAGGUCUCAAGCGUUGUUCGGAUUCAUUGGGCGUAAAGGGUGUGUAGGUGGCGCCGUAAGUCGGGUGUGAAAUUUCGGAGCUUAACUCCGAAACUGCAUUCGAUACUGCGGUGCUUGAGGACUGGAGAGGAGACUGGAAUUCAUGGUGUAGCAGUGAAAUGCGUAGAGAUCAUGAGGAAGACCAGUGGCGAAGGCGGGUCUCUGGACAGUUCCUGACGCUGAUGCACGAAGGCCAGGGGAGCAAACGGG
rnacentral:rRNA from 1 species